UACGUAGGGAGCAAGCGUUGUCCGGAAUCAUUGGGCGUAAAGCGCGCGUAGGCGGCCCGAUAAGUCCGCUGUAAAAGUCAACGGCUCAACUGUUGAAAGCCGGUGGAUACUGUCGGGCUAGAGUUCGGCAGGGGAGACUGGAAUUCCUGGUGUAGCGGUGAAAUGCGCAGAUAUCAGGAGGAACACCGGUGGCGAAGGCGGGUCUCUGGGCCGAUACUGACGCUGAGGAGCGAAAGCGUGGGGAGCGAACAGG
rnacentral:rRNA from 1 species